GAGUUUGAUCCUGGCUCAGAUUGAACGCUGGCGGCAUGCCUUACACAUGCAAGUCGAACGGCAGCGCGGGAGCAAUCCUGGCGGCGAGUGGCGAACGGGUGAGUAAUAUAUCGGAACGUGCCCAGUAGUGGGGGAUAGCCCGGCGAAAGCCGGAUUAAUACCGCAUACGACCUGAGGGUGAAAGCGGGGGAUCGCAAGACCUCGCGCUACUGGAGCGGCCGAUAUCAGAUUAGCUAGUUGGUGGGGUAAAGGCCUACCAAGGCAACGAUCUGUAGUUGGUCUGAGAGGACGACCAGCCACACUGGGACUGAGACACGGCCCAGACUCCUACGGGAGGCAGCAGUGGGGAAUUUUGGACAAUGGGCGCAAGCCUGAUCCAGCAAUGCCGCGUGCAGGAAGAAGGCCUUCGGGUUGUAAACUGCUUUUGUCAGGGAAGAAAUCUUCUGGGCUAAUACCCCGGGAGGAUGACGGUAUCCUGAAGAAUAA
rnacentral:rRNA from 1 species